rnacentral:rRNA from 1 species
GGAUGAACGCUGGCGGUAUGCUUAACACAUGCAAGUCGAACGGUACCUUCGGGUAUAGUGGCGGACGGGUGAGUAACGCGUGAGAAUCUAUCUUCAGGUCGGGGACAACAGUUAGAAAUGACUGCUAAUACCGGAUGUGCCGAAAGGUGAAAGAUUAAUUGCCUGAAGUUGAGCUCGCGUCAGAUUAGCUAGUAGGUGGUGUAAGAGACUACCUAGGCAUCGAUCUGUAGCUGGUCUGAGAGGACGAUCAGCCACACUGGAACUGAGACACGGUCCAGACUCCUACGGGAGGCAGCAGUGGGGAAUUUUCCGCAAUGGGCGAAAGCCUGACGGAGCAAUACCGCGUGAGGGACGAAGGCUUUUGGGUCGUAAACCUCUUUUCUCAAGGAAGAUAGUGACGGUACUUGAGGAAUAAGCAUCGGCUAACUCUGUGCCAGCAGCCGCGGUAAUACAGAGGAUGCAAGCGUUAUCCGGAAUGAUUGGGCGUAAAGCGUCCGCAGGUGGUUUUGAAAGUCUGCUGUUAAAGCGUGUGGCUCAACCACAUACAGGCAGUGGAAACUAUAAGACUAGAGUAUGUUAGGGGUAGAGGGAAUUCCCAGUGUAGCGGUGAAAUGCGUAGAGAUUGGGAAGAACACCGGUGGCGAAAGCGCUCUGCUAGGACAAUACUGACACUGAGGGACGAAAGCUAGGGGAGCGAAUGGGAUUAGAUACCCCAGUAGUCCUAGCCGUAAACGAUGGAUACUAGGCGUUGCCCGUAUCGACCCGGGCAUUGUCGUAGCUAACGCGUUAAGUAUCCCGCCUGGGGAGUACGCACGCAAGUGUGAAACUCAAAGGAAUUGACGGGGCCCCGCACAAGCGGUGGAGUAUGUGGUUUAAUUCGAUGCAACGCGAAGAACCUUACCAGGACUUGACAUGUCGCGAACCCUGCUGAAAGGUGGGGGUGCCUUCGGGAGCGCGAACACAGGUGGUGCAUGGCUGUCGUCAGCUCGUGUCGUGAGAUGUUGGGUUAAGUCCCGCAACGAGCGCAACCCUCGUUUUUAGUUGCCAUCAUUAAGUUGGGCACUCUAGAGAGACUGCCGGUGACAAACCCGGAGGAAGGUGGGGAUGACGUCAAGUCAGCAUGCCCCUUACGUCCUGGGCUACACACGUACUACAAUGCUACGAACAAAGGGCAGCUAGUUAGCAAUAACAUGCAAAUCUCAGAAAUCGUAGCUCAGUUCAGAUUGAAGGCUGCAACUCGCCUUCAUGAAGUCGGAAUCGCUAGUAAUUGCAGGUCAGCAUACUGCAGUGAAUUCGUUCCCGGGCCUUGUACACACCGCCCGUCACACCAUGGAAGCUGGUCACGCCCGAAGUAGUUAUCCUAACAGUUCGCCGGGGGAGACUCCGAAGGUAGGGCUGGUGACUGGGGUGAAGUCGUAACAAGGUAGCCGUACCGGAAGGUGUGGCUGGAUCACCUCCUUUUUAGGGAGACCUACCGUUCCUUGUCGUAAUACGUACUUCAGUACGUAAAAAACAACAAGAAGGUCAUCACCUAGGUCGAGAGAGAAUUGGCUUUGGCUUCAAACUAUUAUCGGAUUCGGAUUAACAAAAAAUAAAAACAAGCAUAUAUACAGUCAGCAACUUUGGUUAGUAAUAUAACAAAGCCUGCUGGAUGUAUAUCCAGUAAGAACCUUGAAAACUGCAUAGUGACGCAAAUUGUAGGCAGUAAACGUGUUGAGUUGAAUUACUUUCGUAAUUAGAACAAGAAGGCACGGGUAUUGAAUUACAGAUAAUCC